AAGAGAGAGAGAGAAAGGGAGAGAAAGAGCAAGAAAGAGAGAUAAAGACAGAAAGAAAAAAAUGUAAGAAAAUGAUGCUUAGUUGACUAAGGAAAGAAUCACUUUUCUGCCACGUUUCUUAGAAGAUCUCUUCAACUCUUCAGUCAUUUGGCUGCUUAUUGUCAAGUGUUCCAUCUUGACUGCUGUCUCCUAACUCGAUACUUCACACAGUUGGUUGAGUUGUCAUCCUUUCUAGUCUCUUCUUUCCAGUGCAUCACAAUCCCUUCAUCACAUGGAAGGUGACAACAUGCAAAUAAGCACAUUUUCCUGCUAAUUUCAUCCAGUUUGGAUUACCUGCCACCCUGAAGAUGCAGCUGUCAUGGACUGAAGUUACAAGAGA
rnacentral:lncRNA from 1 species